rnacentral:ncRNA from 2 species
CGCCAGCAUCAAGAGUCGGGCCGUCGCCCGGCACCAACCUGCCCCCCGGCAAGGUGGUGCCUCUCCAGACACGGGGAGGGAUGUGGCCGAACCGGCAACAACGGGACGAACC